rnacentral:rRNA from 1 species
GUAGGUGGCAAGCGUUGUCCGGAAUUAUUGGGCGUAAAGCGCGCGCAGGCGGUCCUUUAGGUCUGAUGUGAAAGCCCACGGGCUCAACCGUGGAGGGUCAUUGGAAACUGGGGGACUUGAGUACAGAAGAGGAAAGCGGAAUUCCAAGUGUAGCGGUGAAAUGCGUAGAGAUUUGGAGGAACACCAGUGGCGAAGGCGGCUUUCUGGUCUGUAGCUGACGCUGAGGCGCGAAAGCGUGGGGAGCAAACAGGAUUAGAUACCCUGGUAGUCCACGCCGUAAACGAUGAGUGCUAAGUGUUAGGGGGUUUCCGCCCCUUAGUGCUGCAGCUAACGCAUUAAGCACUCCGCCUGGGGAGUACGGCCGCAAAGGCUG